rnacentral:rRNA from 1 species
CAGUCGCCGCGGUAAUACGGAGGGGGCUAGCGUUGUUCGGAAUUACUGGGCGUAAAGCGCACGUAGGCGGCUUUGUAAGUCAGAGGUGAAAGCCUGGAGCUCAACUCCAGAAUUGCCUUUGAGACUGCAUCGCUUGAACGUCGGAGAGGUGAGUGGAAUUCCGAGUGUAGAGGUGAAAUUCGUAGAUAUUCGGAAGAACACCAGUGGCGAAGGCGGCUCACUGGACGACUGUUGACGCUGAGGUGCGAAAGCGUGGGGAGCAAACAGGAUUAGAUACCCCCGUAGUCCCUGUCUCUUAUAC